UACAGGGGGGGCAAGGCGUUGUUCGGAAUUACUGGGCGUAAAGGGUCUGUAGGUGGCCAACUAAGUCAGACGUGAAAUCCCUCAGCUUAACUGGGGAACUGCGUCUGAUACUGGAUGGCUCGAGUGUGGGAGAGGAAUGCGGAAUUCCAGGUGUAGCGGUGAAAUGCGUAGAUAUCUGGAGGAACACCGGUGGCGAAGGCGGCAUCCUGGACCGGCAUUGACGCUGAGGCGCGAAAGCCAGGGGAGCAAAGC
rnacentral:rRNA from 1 species